CUGGUUUAUAGUUAACUGAAUUCAGACAUUAACAAGGUUGGAACUCCCCAGGAUUUCAAAUUUCCAUAAAUGAGAUCAUUUGUGCAAAUCUGUGAGAGGGAAAACCUAGCUGAAUUUGUUGCCAUUGCAAACUCUUUCUCUUGGUUUCUGAAAUGUAAACUUGAUAAAAUUUUCAGGGUAAAGUCUAUUAGCUUUUCGGUUGGGAGUACAGGAAACCAGACAGGGCUUCACUGGCUUGUCCAUAUAACCCUAUAGCCAAAACGGAUGGUAAGGAAAAGUAAUUGAAUGUCUAAUAUUGUUUUCACAAUUAAUGAAUAUUAAGCAUAUUAUGUUCAUUUCAAUAAAGUUUUUCUUUUUCAAAUAAAUCUUCCAUUCUCAAGCUCUAAAUUUAUAAAAACCUCCAGGAAAUGUAAGGUGUAGAAUAGUAUGUAACUUUACAAAACAAAGGGAGUCAGAAUAGUACAUGGGAGUGCUAGGCAAACAAAUAUCGUGAACCACAAUAUUCGUCGAAAGAGGGGGAAAAAAUAAGAAAAGGAAUAAAGAAAGAAAUCAACUCAAUGUUUUUAACUGUGAAAAGGAACUCUCACAUUUGGAAAGAUAUGAACAGGAAGUGGUGGUAACAGGGGUAUCACUAAACUCAUCUAGAAGCAAAGUUGUAUCAGCAGCAAACUAUGAUCUCCUCACUCCUGAGGACCUACUUUGAUAUCCUUUAAUAAUGUGAAUAAGAAUGGGCAUGAAUGGUUCCCAUGCUUAACACCUUAUUGUCUUAUAAACCAAGUAUUAGCCUCAUCAUUUACAACCACAGGAAUAUGGCACUUCAAACUUGAGAGGCAUUAUAUCCUAUCAAUCGAGCACUUUCUUUGAGAAACCAUGCCUUACAUGCGCGCCUUUGCUCUAUUUUAUUGAAUAGGCUUUGUACAAUAUCUUUGCAGGGUGGUUGUGUAUUAAGAGAUUACCAAAAAAAUUUGCCAAGGGGAAACUUGUCCCAUGCCAUAAUUGUUAAUCACAUAUAUCUGGUUUAACUAAUCACAGCUCGUACCCGCUGCCGAUCAUCCUAAAUCCUAAAUUCUAUACUCUAAAUUGGUUUUACUUUGUUUCACUUUCAAAAAUAUUUUUUAGUUGAGUUUUGGAUGCUUUUAUUGUUUUUAGUUUUGAAUGUUUCUUUUUAAUAAUCAAUUGUUGGCUCCCCAUACUUUCUCUACUAUCACCCUUUAGACCCUAGAUACAAGAGAAUUUUGCCAGUUAAUCUGCCUUUUGUUGUUUCACUUGUUUGUCCGAAUAAUGUAUAGCUUAGUUUUUGUUCUGCUUAUCCUGUAUUUCAUCAAAUCGACACUUGAAAAUUUUCUGUGUUCUCGGCUUCCCAGUUAAGCAUGCCAAUGUCCAUUUCUGGAGUUGGAGUGUCUCUUUAGUUUUACUUCUCAGGUGUAUCUGCUUCAUAAGACCCUCGAUGAUGUGUUCUGCUUUGCAUGUCUGCAUUGUGUACUCCUGCAUAAUGUGUGCCUCAACACUUGUGACUCUUACAAAACCAUGUUGAUCGUUUGAUGUUUCAAACUGCAUUCAUAUAUAAAUACUAAGUAGCAUAAAUGCUAAUUUUUUAGCAGGUUGAGGUAGAUUCUAUGCUUGGUCAUGUAGAACCUGUUAAGCCUGGAGGAGCAGAUGUCAAGAGGACUAAUCUGAGAAUAUGGGAAAAGUAUGAUCCAAAUGGUUUGUGUAAUUGCGUCCACAAGUUCUAUUACCAUUAUCACGACACUCCUUCCACUUCAAAAUAAAUAUUAAUUUGAACAAAGUGACACAUUAAAAUAUCAGUGUACCCAGAUAAGAUCAAUGAUGUUUUAAAGUGUCAUUUACAUCUGAAUUAACAGAGAUUUUGAAACGAACGGAAUAAAAAUAUAUGAAGUGUCGGCUAUAAUGUUAUUUGUAAAUAUGACAUUAUUGAUGGGAAUCCAAAGUUCUAUGUAUCUUGAAAAUGAAAAACUUUGCCCUGUAUGAAGUAAAUAAUGAAUAUGAAUAUGCAAUCUCCAAAAAAGUUUCUGUGCAGAAAGUGCUGCAUGAGAAGCAGCAAUGUCAAUCUUGUCUUGAUGAUAAAAGA
rnacentral:lncRNA from 1 species